GUCACCAUGGCUUAGCUGGGUAAAGCCCCUGCCUCAUAAACAGGAGAUCCUGGGUUCAAGUCCUGCUGGUGUCU
rnacentral:tRNA from 1 species